rnacentral:rRNA from 1 species
AGAUUGAACGCUGGCGGCAGGCCUAACACAUGCAAGUCGAGCGGCAGCACGGGUACUUGUACCUGGUGGCGAGCGGCGGACGGGUGAGUAAUGCCUAGGAAUCUGCCUGAUAGUGGGGGAUAACGCUCGGAAACGGACGCUAAUACCACAUACGUCCUACGGGAGAAAGCAGGGGACCUUCGGGCCUUGCGCUAUCAGAUGAGCCUAGGUCGAUUAGCUAGUUGGUGGGUAAUGGCUCACCAAGGCGACGAUCCGUAACUGGUCUGAGAGGAUGAUCAGUCACACUGGAACUGAGACACGGUCCAGACUCCGUACGGGAGCAGCAGGUGGGAAUAUUGGACAAGUGGGACGAAAGCCUAGAUCCAGCCAUCGACCGCGUGU